rnacentral:rRNA from 1 species
UCGGGAAUAUUGCGCAAUGGAGGAAACUCUGACGCAGUGACGCCGCGUAUAGGACGAAGGUCUUCGGAUUGUAAACUAUUGUCGUUAGGGAAGAGAAAGGACAGUACCUAAGGAGGAAGCUCCGGCUAACUACGUGCCAGCAGCCGCGGUAAUACGUAGGGAGCAAGCGUUAUCCGGAUUUAUUGGGUGUAAAGGGUGCGUAGACGGGAAUUUAAGUUAGUUGUGAAAGCCCUCGGCUUAACUGAGGAACUGCAACUAAAACUGGAUUUCUUGAGUGUUGGAGAGGAAAGCGGAAUUCCUAGUGUAGCGGUGAAAUGCGUAGAUAUUAGGAGGAACACCAGUGGCGAAGGCGGCUUUCUGGACAAUAACUGACGUUGAGGCACGAAAGUGGGGGGAGAAAACA